rnacentral:lncRNA from 1 species
CAGUCCGCAGAUCGACAAACCGCAAGAGGCUUCAUAACUUCAUCCCUAAGAAGUGUUCGAAUCGACAGUCGGUCCCAAGCAACCUUCCAAAAAAAGAAUCUGACUCUGAGGUGAACUAGUGUUCUUCAAAUUCAGAUAACCUCAAUCCUCCUCUCUGACAUUGGCCUAUUCAUCGCAAUGAGGUCUUUAAACGACACCCUGGGGUAGCA